GCAAAUCACUAGGGGUGCCUGUACGGCUGAGACGGAAGCGCGAAUUCCGGACCCUUUGAACCUGAUCUGGAGCGAUGCCAGCGGAGGGAAGUGGUAAAUUCGACGU
rnacentral:ncRNA from 2 species